rnacentral:rRNA from 1 species
ACGGGGCGCAGCAGGCGCGAAACCUCCACAAUGCGCGAAAGCGUGAUGGGGUUAUCCCGAGUGCCGUCCGAUGAGGAUGGCUUUUCAUCGGUGUAAGGAUCCGAUGGAAUAAAGGGGGGGCAAGACUGGUGUCAGCCGCCGCGGUAAUACCAGCCCCCUGAGUGGUAAGGACGAUUAUUUGGCCUAAAGCGUUCGUAGCCGGCUUAUCAAGUCUUUUGUUAAAUCCAACGAUUCAAUCGUUGGGCCGCAGAAGAUACUGUUAUGCUAGAGGACGGGAGAGGUCGACGGUAGUCCAGGGGUAGGGGUGAAAUCCUAUAAUCCUUGGAGGACCACCAGUGGCGAAGGCGGUCGACUAGAACGUGCCUGACGGUGAGGGACGAAAGCUGGGGGAGCGAACCGGAUUAGAUACCCGGGUAGUCCCAGCCGUAAACGAUGCGGGCUAGGUGUUGGGGCAGCCAUGAGCUGCUCCAGUGCCGCAGAGAAGUUGUUAAGCCCGCCGCCUGGGGAGUACGGCCGCAAGGCUGAAACUUAAAGGAAUUGGCGGGGGAGCACCACAAGGGGUGAAGGCUGCGGUUUAAUUGGAGUCAACGCCGGGAACCUUACCGGGGCUGACAGCAGAGUGAAGGCCAGACUGAAGAUCUUGCCAGACAAGCUGAGAGGAGGUGCAUGGCCGUCGCCAGUUCGUGCCGUGAGGUGUCCUGUUAAGUCAGGCAACGAACGAGACCCCCGCUUUUAGUUGCCAGCGGAUUCCA